rnacentral:rRNA from 1 species
AACGAACGCUGGCGGCAGGCUUAACACAUGCAAGUCGAGCGAGACCUUCGGGUCUAGCGGCGGACGGGUGAGUAACGCGCGGGAACGUGCCCUUCUCUACGGAAUAGCCCCGGGAAACUGGGAGUAAUACCGUAUACGCCCUUUGGGGGAAAGAUUUAUCGGAGAAGGAUCGGCCCGCGUUGGAUUAGGUAGGUGGUGGGGUCAUGGCCCACCAAGCCGACGAUCCAUAGCUGGGUUGAGAGGAUGAUCAGCCACACUGGGAAUGAGACACGGCCCAGACUCCUACGGGGAGCCGCAGUGGGGAAUCUUAGACAAUGGGGGCAACCCUGAUCUAGCCAUGCCGCGUGAGUGAUGAAGGCCUUAGGGUUGUAAAGCUCUUUCAGCUGGGAAGAUAAUGACGGUACCAGCAGAAGAAGCCCCGGCUAACUCCGUGCCAGCCGCCGCCGUAA